ACAGUGACCAGGCAGUGUCCCUGCUGGAGGUGAAAGAAAUUCCUGAUACCAACAGAGGGGUCUAGGGAGGGAAUUACACAGCUUCACAGUUGAAGAAGGUGAGGGAUUUGCUAGCACUGCCCGUGUGGUCCUGAAGAAACUUAGAACAGAAACAACCUUACAGCUCUAAGUGGGAGCUUCUUAGACACAAAUCCCAGAUAAGAAUUGGGGCAAAAAUCCCUACUUCAGUGCUUAGGAGGAUAUAAGAGGUUUCUCUGCUUUAAUUUUUUUUUUUAGGUUCAAAGGUUUGGGUGUGUGUCCAUAGGGUUCUUGUGUGUCUGAAGGCUUGAUCAUUGGAGUAAGGCGACUGAAGGGUAGCAAUACCUUAAGAGGUGGAGCCUAAUGCUAGAUGGGGCUCCAGGAUUUUCACUUGCUACCAAGUGUAAGCAGUUUUGUUCAAACAUGAUCUCUUGCUGGGAUAGGCCCACCCACAGACCACUGAAGAUGGAGCCAUGGGGAGGUGACUGGAGAAAGUCGUGGGUAUAAGCUAUGAGUCACGGUCAACCUGUUCUAAACGGAUGGCUCAGGGACUUUGUUCUGGAGACAGAAAGACUUGAAUACUGAUGUGGCCGGAACCUCAGAGUCACCUGGACUCAAAGUUACAGAAGCUAAGAGGUUCCCCCCAGCUGCCAGCUGCUAUUGCUGGGGGCUUCUGCCAAGGAGGACGUCUCUGUGUGGAGAGGCUUUGAGUGCUUGCAGCAGGACAGACUAUUUCAAAGGAAAUUCAGCAGGGUUUACCUCUCAAAUCGCCCACAAUUAACUGCUGGGUUCUUCAAAUAAACUGCAAAUUCCAGAAAGAUCCACAACAAAGGCCAUAAGCUUCCACCCUGGAGAGGGCUGUGCACAGUGAGGCAUCCAGACGUUACGAGAUAUGUUGCUUGUUGAUUUUACCCAAAGUCAGGAAAUGUGCAAUGACGGUCAGGAUGUAAGUUAUGGCUCUGCACCCUUUAUUUAUUUGGAAGUCUUCACCGUGAACCCCAACAAAUAGACUUGUGUGUACUAAUAAGGCAAAAUGUUGAAUAAGUAGUGCAAAAUAGAACCAAACAAAAACCUAUCCCUCAAACAAGAUGCCAGCUGAAGAGGCUGACUCUUCUGCUGGGUCGCUUGAGGUGGCUUCCUUCCCUGUCAGUAAAAGAAGGCCAGACCCGUGACAGAAAAUUCACUUCUUGUUUUACCCUUUCCCAUUAAAUGGCCAAAGUUUCUUUAAAGGCCAUGGAUUAUCUGAAAAAUUAUCCAAAUUGACUGUUAGGGUCAGGGGGUCUCAGAGUGGGAGUAAUUUUGCCUCCGAGGAAAAAGAUCAUGGAGACAUUUUGGGUUGUCCCCAUGCUGGGGUGAAGUGGAGGGCAUGUGUUCUGUGUAUCCGAUGAUUUGAAGCCAGAAAUGCUGGUGAGUCACCACAAUGCCUAGAGAAGUUCCUAAGGCACAGAGCCUAAGACCCACAAUUUCUGGAACAGGUCUUACGGUUUUGAACCCGACAUCCACAGUGCCUGGACCAAUACCCAAGUCUACACCCUAAGAUGUAAGAUGUGCAUGACAGUCCAUGCGGUGCGGAACUAAAACUCUCAGAUGCGAAUGAGUGAGAGUGAGAAGCCCAGACAGAGCGUAGAAAGGCCUGGAUUUAUUCUAAAUAAUGUGGGACCUGUUAAAAAACAAAUCACAGACUGCCUAUGCAAAGGCACGCUGAUUCCUUUCCCUGGAUACGCCUCAGAGUGACCUGACCAUGUCAUUUCUUCCCUCCGGAAUACAAGAUCAUCGCUCUCAUCAUGGCUACUGUCACCAUCAGGAACUGGACUCGGGCUCUGUCUCUGGGCUAAGUCACAGAUCCACCAUUUCUUUAUGGACGCACGGCAGUUGCUUGGGCUGUCUCUGAGCCUCCCUCCCUCUGUCGCCAAUAGGACUACCUCAGUGGCCUGUGAGCUGAUGCGCUCAUGAAACUUUUCUAGACAGCCAAGAGGAAGAGAAGAAUAAAGUCUAAAACACUUAAAACCCUCACCCGGCCACAGGACCUGACUCCAGCUGUGUCAGCCUCGACUUGUGUCAACACAUCUCAGAUUCCCGUCUGCACUCUUCCAGGAAACAUGCCAUCAUUCUUCCUACGUGUUAUUCAUUGUCGCAGGCCCUUCCCAUUGGCUGCCUGAUAGGUCUCAAACAAUAUAAAAAUGUAAUGAGAACAGAACAGCCAUACCACCUCUCUGCCUGGUGAAACCAGUGCCUUUAUUCCUGAAAGGUGACCUUCAAACUCUAUCUUUGAUCAUUAAACUCCAUUCAUUCCGACAAAUGCACCUGAAAAGUUUAUUUCACCAUGAAAUGCCUCUUUAUUCUUCAAAUAAAAAUAAAUAAAC